CUCACGACGUCUCCUCUCUCUCGUUCGAUCCGUCUCACUCGCAUCGCCACAUCCAGGUCUCGUCGCAUCACUUCCUCGUUCUCCCUCUUUACUGGUUGGUCUCUAGAUCGUAGCUGGCUAGCUGCUGGUCUCCUCCUCCUCGGAUUCUUGACCUCGAUCCGCCGAGAUGACCUACGUCGAUCGCCUGACCACGUUCGAGGACUCCGAGAAGGAGAGCGAGUAUGGAUACGUCCGGAAGAUUGCGCGACGAUUGGGGUUUCUCCUUCCUUUUUUUUUUAAAAUUUUUUUUCUGAGCAGGUUUUAUUGGAUGGGAAUUGAGUUAUUGUCUAUUUAAGGAUUGCUGAGCCGAUUGUUGUAGACGUAGAACUUGGGAUGUGAUCUGGAUCGAAUAGGCAGUGGUGCUAAUUCGAGUGUGAUGAUUGCAUACCUCAAAUCUAUACUUGUCUUCUGCUGAGUGAAGGGUGCCGGUUUCUCAGCCAGUCGUUGUGGCUAAUGGGAUGGGAGGUGCUGCCAUGUAUGGUAUGAUAGCAAAAGGCGGAAUCCAUCAUCCUAGUGGCCCCAUACAGUCAGCCCCAUGACCAUCUUAGGGAGAUAAAUCGGGAAGCUGUAGUUAGCCAAUGCGGGGAGGGCUUUUGCCCUCAGCUUUGUCGAGAUUCGAACUCUUAUCCUAUGGUAGCAAUUCUGCCCCGCACUAUCCAACUUAACUCUGCCCCAGGAGCGAGGUGCUGCCAUGUAUGAGCUUGUGUGUGUUGGUCAUGAUAACCUGUCUCAGGAACUGACAAUUUUAGAUUUACCCCAUCAUACGGCUAACGCUUGUGUACUUACAUUUAUCUCCCUCCAUAUCCGUGGGGCUGACACUAGGAGGGUCGUUAAGGUAACGGAUUUACCUUUGUGCGUGUUGGUCAUGAUUGUUGGGACCGAUGUGCCCGCUAGAGGGGGGAGGGGAUGAAUAGCUCGUCGCGAUCUCGUGCUUAUCGUUGCUUGCUUCUUGUGAUGAUGUGCAGCGGAAAAUACAAGAAACAACAAACUACA